UACCAGCACCCCGAGUGGUCGGGACGAUUAUUGGGCCUAAAGCAUCCGUAGCCGGUUCUACAAGUCUUCCGUUAAAUCCAACUGCUUAACAGGUGGGCUGCGGAAGAUACUAUAGAGCUAGGAGGCGGAGAGGCAAGCGGUACUCGAUGGGUAGGGUAAAAUCCGUUGAUCCAUGAAGACCACCAGUGGCGAAGGCGGCUUGCCAGAACGCGCUCGACGUGAGGGAUGAAGCUGGGGAGCAAAGCCGG
rnacentral:rRNA from 1 species